rnacentral:rRNA from 1 species
CCUACGGGAGGCAGCAGUGAGGAAUAUUGGUCAAUGGGCGCGAGCCUGAACCAGCCAAGUCGCGUGAGGGAGGACGGCCCUACGGGUUGUAAACCUCUUUUGCCGGGGAGCAACUGGCGCCACGUGUGGCGUCACUGAGAGUACCCGGAGAAAAAGCAUCGGCUAACUCCGUGCCAGCCGCCGCGGUAAUACGGAGGAUGCGAGCGUUAUCCGGAUUUAGUGGGUUUAAAGGUUGCGUAGGCGUAUCGUUAAGUCAGUGGUCAGAUUGAGGGGCUCAACCCCUUCCCGCCAUUGAAACUGGCGUUCUUGAGGGGAAUAGAAGUAUGCGGAAUGCGUGGGGGAGCGGUGAAAUGCAUAGAUAUCACGCAGAACCCCGAUUGCGAAGGCAGCAUGCCGGCUUCCGACUGACGCUGAAGCACGAAAGCGUGGGGAUCGAACAGGAUUAGAUACCCCGGUAGUC